UACGGAGGGUGCAAGCGUUAUCCGGAUUCACUGGGUUUAAAGGGUGCGUAGGCGGCUUUGUAAGUUAGAGGUGAAAGCCCAGGGCUCAACCCUGGAAUUGCCUUUAAGACUGCAUCGCUUGAACAUCGGAGAGGUAAGUGGAAUUCCGAGUGUAGAGGUGAAAUUCGUAGAUAUUCGGAAGAACACCAGUGGCGAAGGCGACUUACUGGACGAUUGUUGACGCUGAGGUGCGAAAGCGUGGGGAGCAAACAGG
rnacentral:rRNA from 1 species